AUGAGGUUUCAAGUUCGACAUAUAUUUUUGGACAAUUUAGUACCUAGUCGUCGUUAUGGUGGCGUAACUCUGUUGAUGCAUUAUCCCAUUAUAAAAUGUACACUCUCCACUUUAAUUUCUUAAGAACCAAAAAUAAUAAUUUCCAUUUUGUCGUUGAAAGAAAAUAUUCAUACUCCGAACAUUCUUUUAAGGUGUACAGAUUUUUUUGUAUGUGCCCUUGA
rnacentral:lncRNA from 1 species